UAAUUCGAUGANACGCGAGGAANCUUACCAGGGCUUGNAAGUUAGUGNAGAAUGUGGAAACANGUUCGUCAGCAAUGACACGAAACUAGGUGCUGCAUGGCUGUCGUCAGCUCGUGCCGUGAGGUGUUGGGUUAAGUCCCGCAACGAGCGCAACCCCCAUCUUUAGUUGCUAGCAGGUAAUGCUGAGGACUCUAAAGAAACUGCCUACGCAAGUAGCGAGGAAGGCGGGGACGACGUCAAGUCAUCACGGCCCUUACGUCCUGGGCCACACACGUGCUACAAUGGUAGGUACAGAGGGCAGCUACCGGGUGACCGGAUGCGAAUCUCUAAAGCCUAUCUCAGUUCGGAUUGGAGUCUGCAACUCGACUCUAUGAAGCUGGAAUCGCUAGUAAUCGCGCAUCAGCCAUGGCGCGGUGAAUACGUUCCCGGGCCUUGUACACACCGCCCGUCAAACAAUGGAAGCUGGGGGUGCCUGAAGUCGGUAACCGCAA
rnacentral:rRNA from 1 species